ACACUCCUGCGGGAGGCAGCAGUGGGGAAUAUUGCACAAUGGGCGCAAGCCUGAUGCAGCCAUGCCGCGUGUAUGAAGAAGGCCUUCGGGUUGUAAAGUACUUUCAGCGGGGAGGAAGGCGAUAAGGUUAAUAACCUUGUUGAUUGACGUUACCCGCAGAAGAAGCACCGGCUAACUCCGUGCCAGCAGCCGCGGUAAUACGGAGGGUGCAAGCGUUAAUCGGAAUUACUGGGCGUAAAGCGCACGCAGGCGGUCUGUCAAGUCGGAUGUGAAAUCCCCGGGCUCAACCUGGGAACUGCAUUCGAAACUGGCAGGCUAGAGUCUUGUAGAGGGGGGUAGAAUUCCAGGUGUAGCGGUGAAAUGCGUAGAGAUCUGGAGGAAUACCGGUGGCGAAGGCGGCCCCCUGGACAAAGACUGACGCUCAGGUGCGAAAGCGUGGGGAGCAAACAGGAUUAGAAACCCGAGUAGUCCCA
rnacentral:rRNA from 1 species